AUUGAACGCUGGCGGCAGGCCUAACACAUGCAAGUCGAACGGUAACAGGAAGCAGCUUGCUGCUUUGCUGACGAGUGGCGGACGGGUGAGUAAUGUCUGGGAAACUGCCUGAUGGAGGGGGAUAACUACUGGAAACGGUAGCUAAUACCGCAUAACGUCGCAAGACCAAAGAGGGGGACCUUCGGGCCUCUUGCCAUCGGAUGUACCCAGAUGGGAUUAGCUAGUAGGUGGGGUAACGGCUCACCUAGGCGACGAUCCCUAGCUGGUCUGAGAGGAUGACCAGCCACACUGGAACUGAGACACGGUCCAGACUCCUACGGGAGGCAGCAGUGGGGAAUAUUGCACAAUGGGCGCAAGCCUGAUGCAGCCAUGCCGCGUGUAUGAAGAAGGCCUUCGGGUUGUAAAGUACUUUCAGCGGGGAGGAAGGGAGUAAAGUUAAUACCUUUGCUCAUUGACGUUACCCGCAGAAGAAGCACCGGCUAACUCCGUG
rnacentral:rRNA from 1 species